rnacentral:rRNA from 1 species
UACGGGGGGGGCAAGCGUUGUUCGGAAUUACUGGGCGUAAAGGGCUCGUAGGCGGCCAACUAAGUCAAACGUGAAAUCCCUCGGCUUAACCGGGGAACUGCGUCUGAUACUGGAUGGCUUGAGUUUGGGAGAGGGAUGCGGAAUUCCAGGUGUAGCGGUGAAAUGCGUAGAUAUCUGGAGGAACACCGGUGGCGAAGGCGGCAUCCUGGACCGACACUGACACUGAGGAGCGAAAGCCAGGGGAGCAAACGGG